AGAGUUUGAUCAUGGCUCAGGAUGAACGCUAGCGGCAGGCUUAACACAUGCAAGUCGAGGGGCAGCAUUCCAGCAAUGGAGAUGGCGACCGGCAAACGGGUGCGGAACACGUACGCAACAUACCUUUUACUGGGGCAUAGCCUUCUGAAAAGAAGAUUAACACCCCAUAAUAUAAUAGAGUGGCAUCACUCAGUUAUUAAAAAUUUAUUGGUAAGAGAUUGGCGUGCGUCCUAUUAGCUAGUUGGUAUGGGUAACGGCCUACCAAGGCGACGAUAGGUAGCUGGUGUGAGAGCACGACCAGCCACACGGGCACUGAGACACGGGCCCGACUCCUACGGGAGGCAGCAGUGAGGAAUAUUGGUCAAUGGACGAGAGUCUGAACCAGCCAUGCCGCGUGAAGGAUGAAGGCGUUCUGCGUUGUAAACUUCUUUUAUCUGGGAAGAAACCCCUUUUUUCUAAGAGGGCCGACGGUACCAGAGGAAUAAGCACCGGCUAACUCCGUGCCAGCAGCCGCGGUAAUACGGAGGGUGCAAGCGUUAUCCGGAUUUACUGGGUUUAAAGGGUGUGUAGGCGGGUUUUUAAGUCAGAGGUGAAAUCCCAAGGCUCAACCUUGGAACUGCCCCUGAUACUAUUAGCCUUGAAUAUUGAUGAGGUGGGCGGAACGGGUCAUGUAGCGGUGAAAUGCUUAGAGAUGACCCGGAACACCAAUUGCGAAGGCAGCUCACUGGGCAAUUAUUGACGCUGAGGCACGAAAGCGUGGGGAUCAAACAGGAUUAGAUACCCUAGUAGUCC
rnacentral:rRNA from 1 species